rnacentral:rRNA from 1 species
AUGUUCCGGAUGAAGAAUCUCGGUCAUGAAACCGAAGCCAUUAAUAGUGCAAGGGACAAGGUGCUCAAAAUUAUGAGGAUGAUGAACCCAAAGAUUUUCAUUUCAGGCACUGUGAAUGGGUUACGCAGUUCUCCCUUCUUUGUAAAACGUUUCAAAGAGGUUAUAUUCCAUUACUCUUCAAUGUUUGACAUGCUUGAUGCAAAUGUUGUUCCACGGGAUAAUAAAGCAAGAAAGAUGAUUGAGAGGAUGAUAUUUGGUAAGGAUGCACUUAACAUCAUAGCAUGUGAGGGUGCAGAAAGAACAGAGAGACCAGAAAGUUACCGACAGUGGCACGCAAGGUGCGUCAAGGCCGGGUUCCAGCAGCUUCCUGUCGAUCCAGCCGUCUUAAGGAUAAUAGUAUACAUGAAGAACACGUUUUGGCAUGAGGAAUUCUUUGCUGUUGAAGAUCGUGGUUGGCCAGACACAAUCUUCGAACUUUCGAUAGGCGCCCUGUUUUACUGGGGGAGAAAACUCGAAGAGCUUCCCCGAAGUCUUUGGAGUAUCUUUUUGAUAGGCACCCUGUUUUGCUGUAAAGUAGUAGAUCAUUGCUCUGAAUAUCUCUCAAAGCUGGGAGGCCGAGGUAGGCGGAGGAGCGCGAGGAGAAGAGGCCCCCCGCGUCGUCUUCCUUCGCCUGCGUCGUCGCAUUCGCCGCCGCCGCCGGCGACCUGCCGGGCUUCCUCUUGGCGGACAUGGAGAUGUCAC